CAGCAAGUUCAGUUGCUCUCUCCUCUGUUAUACUCUUCAAGUUGGCGCGAGACACCCUCCGUCUCCGUCGCUCGCAAUCCCUCUUCAUUUAAGGUAUUCUGUAGUGCUUUAAGCCUUGAAGUGUAGAACUUAGAAGAUUUUAUGAUACGGAUGGAGAGUGCUAGAAUAGCAAGGUGUAGUUAUCGUGCUAUAACUGUCGUGAUUGCAUUGUCUGAACAUAGUAAAUAUGUGGAUAUUUGUAAUGAGAUAUGUUUAAGGUUUAAGGAACUUAAGGUAGGGAGUUACGAGCUGACAUAUUCUCUUCCUGAGCAUCCUACUUGUUUGCUGCAAUCGGAUAUGGACAUGC